rnacentral:rRNA from 1 species
GUGGGGAAUAUUGGACAAUGGGCGAAAGCCUGAUCCAGCCAUGCCGCGUGUGUGAAGAAGGUCUUCGGAUUGUAAAGCACUUUAAGUUGGGAGGAAGGGCAGUAAGUUAAUACCUUGCUGUUUUGACGUUACCGACAGAAUAAGCACCGGCUAACUUCGUGCCAGCAGCCGCGGUAAUACGAAGGGUGCAAGCGUUAAUCGGAAUUACUGGUCGUAAAGCGCGCGUAGGUGGUUUUGUAAGUUGGAGGUGAAAUCCCCGGGCUCAACCUGGGAACUGCCUCCAAAACUGCAUGACUAGAGUACGGUAGAGGGUAGUGGAAUUUCCUGUGUAGCGGUGAAAUGCGUAGAUAUAGGAAGGAACACCAGUGGCGAAGGCGACUACCUGGACUGAUACUGACACUGAGGUGCGAAAGCGUGGGGAGCAAACAGGAUUAGAUACCCGGGUAGUCC